GAUAAGAGCUCUCCUCUCAUUUUGGUGAAGAGGCUCUUUCAGCUUACCUCUGCUUAUUUUCAGCAGGUGCUUUUUGGGCAUAUGAAGCAACAGAGGCUUUGAAGAUGCUGUGAAGAAAACAGUAUUGGACACAGGGAGAGUGCAACUUCCAGAAAUUCUAGGCUGUGUCAAGUGCAACCCUUUUAUCAGCAGAUUCAUCAUGUCACAAAAGGGAGCUGCCCUGUGUCAAAGAUCAUGUUUGAGAUUGAGGCUUCAGAUGAACUGAGGAUUGUGACUAGGAGAGGGAAGGUGCCGCUCAUAAUAACAGCCACAACCUUGGACUCGGGACGAAGCCGGAGACUCGAGGACCCAGACAAGCUCAGGAGAGGGCAAGUAGUUGCCUUGCUGGGAUUUGGCCCACAUAACACAAAACUCAUAUGUUGUUUUUGGUUUACUUUAU